rnacentral:rRNA from 1 species
AUUGAACGCUGGCGGCAGGCCUAACACAUGCCAGUCGAGCGGAUGAAGGGAGCUUGCUCCUGGAUUCAGCGGCGGACGGGUGAGUAAUGCCUAGGAAUCUGCCUGGUAGUGGGGGAUAACGUCCGGAAACGGGCGCUAAUACCGCAUACGUCCUGAUGUUGAACGUGGGGGAUCUUCGGACCUCACGCUAUCAGCUGAGCCUAGGUCGGAUUAGCUAGUUGGUGGGGUAAAGGCCUACCAAGGCGACGAUCCGUAACUGGUCUGAGAGGAUGAUCAGUCACACUGGAACUGAGACACGGUCCAGACUCCUACGGGAGGCAGCAGUGGGGAAUAUUGGACAAUGGGCGAAAGCCUGAUCCAGCAAUGCCGCGUGUGUGAAGAAGGUCUUCGGAUUGUAAAGCACUUUAAGUUGGGAGGAAGGGCAGUAAGUUUAUACCUUGCUGUUUUGACGUUACCAACAGAAUAAGCACCGGCUAACUUCGUG